GGAGGAGUCACUGAACAAGGGCAGGUCCAACCCGCCCCUACCUCCUUGCCCAAUCUUCCCUUGGUUCUUGUUGAUCUUGUGCCAGUUUAGGGGCUGAAACCUGGGGGUCUAGAGUGAUGAGAGCUUGCAGCCUUCUCUGGGGGUUCAGCUCCUUCCCAGGCAUUCUUAGGUUGGAAUGACCCUGAAGAUUGAUGAGGAACAUUGAUUUGAGGCAGGAUUUGGAUUUUAUGUUAAAAUGAGUGAGUUAUAAAGUAAAUGCCAAGGAGGAUGGCAAGCCACAUAAAGAAGAGAAACAUCAAGCCAGGAAUGGCAAAAUGGAGAAUACAGCCAAUGUUUUCAGGCAAUCGGAAUGAAAGAAGACUCGCAAUUAUCAGGGGAGGUGCCCUUACCCAAGGAGAGCAGGUUCCAGGCGUUCU